rnacentral:rRNA from 1 species
UGACCUGCGGAGGGAUCAUUACAAGUGACCCCGGUUUACCACCGGGAUGUUCAUAACCCUUUGUUGUCCGACUCUGUUGCCUCCGGGGCGACCCUGCCUUCGGGCGGGGGCUCCGGGUGGACACUUCAAACUCUUGCGUAACUUUGCAGUCUGAGUAAACUUAAUUAAUAAAUUAAAACUUUUAACAACGGAUCUCUUGGUUCUGGCAUCGAUGAAGAACGCAGCGAAAUGCGAUAAGUAAUGUGAAUUGCAGAAUUCAGUGAAUCAUCGAAUCUUUGAACGCACAUUGCGCCCCCUGGUAUUCCGGGGGGCAUGCCUGUUCGAGCGUCAUUUCACCACUCAAGCCUCGCUUGGUAUUGGGCAACGCGGUCCGCCGCGUGCCUCAAAUCGACCGGCUGGGUCUUCUGUCCCCUAAGCGUUGUGGAAACUAUUCGCUAAAGGGUGCUCGGGAGGCUACGCCGUAAAACAACCCCAUUUCUAAGGUUGACCUCGGAUCAGGUAGGGAUACCCGCUGAACUUAAGCAUAUCAAAA